UAAGAAGGAAGGGGACAGACUCUGUAGCAAGGCCUGCUGCGACAGGACAGGGGGAAAUGGCUCCAAACUGAAAGAGGGGAGAUUUACAUUGGGUGUAAGGAAGGAGUUUUUACAAUAAGGGCAGUGAGGCACCGGCACAGGUUGUCCAGAGGUGGUGGAUGAUGCUGCGUCCCUUGCAGACAGCCAAGGUCAGGGGAUGUGGCUCUGGGCACUGAUGGAGCUGUGGGUGCCCCUGUUCAGUGCAGGGGAGCUGGACUAAGUGAGAUGCCCUUCAGAGGUCUCUUCCAACUUAAAGGUUUCGAUGACUGUAUGAUUAUUAACUCACCCGCAGCCAUUAAGGCAUGCAUAUUUAACGAUACGAGCACAAGCAGUGUAGUGCACACCGCUUUCUUUUGAUCAUGAAAACCAGGAGGACUGCACUUGAUACACAUUCUGGUAGGAAGGACGGCUGGGAAAGAUGUUCUGCCCAGACUGCUUGGUCAGGGUGAUCCUGAGAAAAAGGAAAACCCACGGAGCGUUGCUCCAUUCCCUCGCUCAAGCCCCGGCUGCUCUGCACGGCUCGCUGUGGACCACGGCCUAUUUUGUUUAAGUGCCUCGCCUCUGAAUUUGCUUUUGUUUAUAGAUUCUUCUAAUCCUAAUGCCGAUUUGGUUGCAUAACAGCAAUAUCCUCCUAUGCUCAAAACCCUUUAAUGGUACCAAACGCAGCUUCAGCUCGGGGAAUGACACAAAGAGCAGCGCUCCAAAGUUCACUUCUCCCGGCUCUCAGAUGGAACGCGGGAGGCACGAACGAGAUAAGAAUCCCGCAGACGGGACAGAACCGUUUAUCAAACAUGCGGUCGAUUGUUCUCAAAACAAGCGAUUGUUUUCCCAAACAAAGAACUCCCAUUUCCGAAUCUCUGAGCCAGCACGGCGCUUUCCGGCCGUCAGCCGAUCCGACUACCUGCAGAAAUACCUGCUAACGAGGGCAGCGCAGCCCCAACCGACGGCGGGGCCAUUUCCUGCGGGGCAGCGCCGCGAUUUUACACGCGCUCAGCUUAUUGAGUCCCGGUUGGGAGGCACCCAGACAUGCCCAUUGCGGGGAAGGUCCCGAUACAAAAUGUCCGCGGCGGCGCCGAUCGGACGGCAGUCUCCCGCAUCCCGGCUGCGGGACGGAACGGAACGCACGUGUCGGACCGGGCCGGGCAGGUAAUGGCGGCCGGGCGGGACGGACGGACGGACGGACCGCGUCCUCGUGCUGUGCUCAAGGACGGCGGGAGCGGCUCCGCGACAAAAGGCGUGCGGGGCCGCGGGCGCGGGGCGGGAGCGGGCGGUGCUGCGCCGUCGUGGGGGAAUGUCUUAGUUUUAUUUCUUAUUUCCCCGAAAGAGGACGUGCCGCUUUUUUGUUGAGAAAACGUGGUGGUUGGUUGUUGUUCGUUGGUUUUUUUUUGGUGGCUGUUGUGCUCAAGGACGGCGGGAGCGGCUCCGCGACAAAAGGCGUGCGGGGCCGCGGGCGCGGGGCGGGAGCGGGCGGUGCUGCGCCGUCGUGGGGGAAUGUCUUAGUUUUAUUUCUUAUUUCCCCGAAAGAGGACGUGCCGCUUUUUUGUUGAGAAAACGUGGUGGUUGGUUGUUGUUCGUUGGUUUUUUUUUGGUGGCUGUUCUUUUAAAACACACGCGGGGCGAAGCGGUGGCUGCGUUCGGGGCGGGAGGCGCGGCUCCGGGCUGCCGGGCGGGCUGAGGACAAAGGGGUCACCGCCGGCAGCGCUGCGCCUCGCGGGCUUUUUUUUUUUUUUUCCCUUUUUUU
rnacentral:lncRNA from 1 species